GGGGAUUUAGCUCAGUGGUAGAGCACUUGCCUAGCAAGUACAAGGCCCUGGGUUCGGUCCCCAGCUCCA
rnacentral:tRNA from 1 species